AGUAACACGUAAACAACCUGCCUUCAGGAUGGGGACAACAGACGGAAACGACUGCUAAUACCGAAUAAGUUCCAAGAGCCGCAUGGCCCAUGGAAGAAAAGGUGGCCUCUACCUGUAAGUUAUCGCCUGAAGAGGGGUUUGCGUCUGAUUAGCUGGUUGGAGGGGUAACGGCCCACCAAGGCGACGAUCAGUAGCCGGUCUGAGAGGAUGAACGGCCACACUGGAACUGAGACACGGUCCAGACUCCUACGGGAGGCAGCAUG
rnacentral:rRNA from 1 species